CUUUUUAAUAAUAUAUUUUAGAAAAUAACCAUAGAUGAAUAGCUCUAUGUAUGGUUAAAAAGAUACAGGAAUAUGUACAGUUACAACAAUAAGGCCAUUUGAGUCAACAUGCAAGGUCUGAGAGCUGAUCAUACUAAAUGAAGUGAGGCACACAGGGAAACAUAUAUACCAAAUAAUAUCAUAAUAUCCAAAUGUGGAAUCUAAGAUAUGACACAAAUGAACAUAUGUAUGAAUAAUGCAAUAAAUGAAAUUAAAAACACUCUG
rnacentral:sRNA from 1 species